AGUCGAGGGGCAGCGGGAUUGAAGCUUGCUUCAAUUGCCGGCGACCGGCGCACGGGUGAGUAACGCGUAUCCAACCUUCCGUACACUCAGGGAUAGCCUUUCGAAAGAAAGAUUAAUACCUGAUGGUAUGAUGAGAUUGCAUGAUAGCAUCAUUAAAGAUUCAUCGGUGUACGAUGGGGAUGCGUUCCAUUAGGUAGUAGGCGGGGUAACGGCCCACCUAGCCUACGAUGGAUAGGGGUUCUGAGAGGAAGGUCCCCCACAUUGGAACUGAGACACGGUCCAAACUCCUACGGGAGGCAGCAGUGAGGAACAUUGGUCAAUGGACGAGAGUCUGAACCAGCCAAGUAGCGUGAAGGAUGAAGGUCUUACGGAUUGUAAACUUCUUUUAUAAGGGAAUAAAACCUCCCACGUGUGGGAGCUUGUAUGUACCUUAUGAAUAAGCAUCGGCUAACUCCGUGCCAGCAGCCGCGGUAAUACGGAGGAUGCGAGCGUUAUCCGGAUUUAUUGGGUUUAAAGGGAGCGCAGACGGGUCGUUAAGUCAGCUGUGAAAGUUUGGGGCUCAACCUUAAAAUUGCAGUUGAUACUGGCGUCCUUGAGUGCGGUUGAGGUGUGCGGAAUUCGUGGUGUAGCGGUGAAAUGCUUAGAUAUCACGAAGAACUCCGAUUGCGAAGGCAGCACACUAAGCCGUAACUGACGUUCAUGCUCGAAAGUGUGGGUAUCAAACAGGAUUAGAUACCCUGGUAGUCCACACGGUAAACGAUGGAUACUCGCUGUUGGCGAUAUAC
rnacentral:rRNA from 1 species